GUUAAUAAACUAAAUAAAUUACACUUAUAUUUCGAUUAUAAGGUUGGGUGAAUAUUACUCUGUUAAUA
rnacentral:tRNA from 1 species